GCUGGACCCCCGGUCAGUUUUGCUGGUUUGCAUUCAGCUUUUAAGACUGUGCGCUGUGCAAAUCCAUGCAAAACUGAUUGUGGCAGC
ensembl:miRNA dre-mir-19b microRNA 19b